UGCUUAGUGUAGAAUUUUAUGCAGAUCAAAUCACGUCUUAUAAUAAGAAGUAAUCUUUCUCGGUAUCAAUCCCCAUGCCCCUCAUUCUUUGAGAAUCAGAAGGAUCCUUUUCGAGUUUCCAUUUCUUCAUUUGGAUAUUCUUAG
rnacentral:rRNA from 1 species